rnacentral:rRNA from 1 species
GUAGGUGGCAAGCGUUGUCCGGAAUUAUUGGGCGUAAAGCGCGCGCAGGCGGUCCUUUAAGUCUGAUGUGAAAGCCCACGGCUCAACCGUGGAGGGUCAUCGGAAACUGGGGGACUUGAGUACAGAAGAGGAAAGCGGAAUUCCGAGUGUAGCGGUGAAAUGCGUAGAGAUUUGGAGGAACACCAGUGGCGAAGGCGGCUUUCUGGUCUGUAACUGACGCUGAGGCGCGAAAGCGUGGGGAGCAAACAGGAUUAGAUACCCUGGUAGUCCACGCCGUAAACGAUGAGUGCUAAGUGUUAGGGGGUUUCCCGCCCCCUUAGUGCUGCAGCUAACGCAUUAAGCACUCCGCCUGGGGAGUACGCCGCAAGGCUG